CUUUGGUGAAAACUACGGAGACGAUGAAGCUUCAAACCUCCCCCCUUUCGCCUCUUCAAAAGGGUUUGAAUAGGUAUCUUUGGGUGUUACAAGAAGUUACUCUGCAAAGUUCCUUUUGGUGCUCAGAAAUUUAAGUGGCCUUUUUGAUGCUAGAAUCGGAACGUGAAGAUUGGAGGUGAGGGAACGUGAAGCUAGUUGAUCCGUUGGACUAUUGCCUUGUUGGGAAACAUUUCUCAGGACAUCCAUGGCUUUAGCAACUUUAGCCUUGAGAGCAUCAGGUGAUUCUAUCGAAUGCAAAACUUCAGGCUGAUCCAUCUCCAAAAGCAUGCCGGUAACCUCCCUGCGGCACCGACGAGCAGAUGAACUGGUUGAGGAAUGAUUUCGGUUAUCACAGGGGUGAAGAAAAACCUUUUUCUCCAGAGGAAAUAUUAUCUAUGAUCCUCGCAAACAUGCGGGAAAACGCAGAGAGACUUUGGAGACACCUAUCAAAAAUGCAGUGAUUACAGUUCCGGCCUAUUUCAAAGAUUCUCAGCGAAAAGCCAAUAUAAAUACUGGUGUUAUUGCAGGCUUGAAUGCAGAUGAUCAAUGAACCAACUGCUGCUACCCUUGCAUAUGGCCAAUGUUGCCAUCUUAACAUGUCGUGAGCAAGUGGUGCUAGCCAUUCCAAGUCUAAAAUCUGUGGGCUCAUCUUCAGUUGAAAGCCAACUGUCCCACCCAACUGCCGAUUUGGUUGAAAGCUUACUGUCUCACUUGGUUUCUGAUUAGUUAGACGAUCCCAGCCCAUAAUGUGCGGCAAUGCAAAACUGCAAGCUGUCUUCAUCACAGAGAACUCAGCAGUUGUAACAGGAACACUGAAAUUCCUUUUUCAAAACUGCUGUGUCGAUCUUUUUGUGGCGGUUAAAUCCAAGGGCUUCAUAAUGAUUCAGACUCUUCAAUAUCCUUCUCAUUUCAUCAAUUUAAUUUGUUUGCUCUCUAACAACUUUAUUGACCAAAAGUUCUUUCUGCUUAUCAACAACUGAUACAGUGACUGCAGGUUGUGGUGGUCACAAUGUCACAAAACUCAAAGAUGUCGGCAAGCACAGAUGCAGCAACGAGUCCGCUUAUGUGAGCCAUAUCCAUCAUAAGGAAGGCACCUAUGCUACCUGCAAUUUUUUUCUAGAGCGGGGAUAAUCAAUGUCUCGAGGGUGAGCACUAACUCCAGGAGUGUUUGCCGUUUUCUGGCCAACAGCUGCCAAAAUGCUACAAUUUGGGAUAAUUGCAACCUGAGAAAGACGCCCAUUAUCCAAAGCUUGACGAAAUCUUGAUUGCAAUGCCUCGGCAACAGCUUUUACUUUCGUCUCGGGGACAGCAAAGCAUACAGAAUGCUCACUACUAGCCUGGAACACCGGCCAUUCCAGUUCCCUCAACAUUUACAAGUGCCAAGUUGUCUAUUGUUGCAAAUCCUUUGACUAAAUUUUGCAGGUUGUUAUAGCAGAACUUGUUGUGUUUGAUGUUGUCUGCUGAUGAGGAUUGUUGCAGGUUAUGGUUAGUCAUUUCAGUGUAACAAGCCCCACAAAGCUCCCUGUUACCAGAAGUACCAGGUGGAACACACUUGCACCUCACACAACAAGUUCCACAUGAUAUGUUACACAAGUUAGGCCUUGAAUGUACACCGCAUCUCGAACCGCACAAACCUCCACAAUCUAUGUCUUGCAUUAGCCUUCUAUUGCCGUCUCGCACAGUAAGCAACUCAUUAGGUAGCUGAAGUUCUUCAUCAUCUUCUUUUUUCAUUUCUAUCUCAUGCUCAGAUGAAACCUGCAUCAGAUUAGAGAGGCAUACUAGAAGCAACAAACCCAGCACGAAAAGAUUAUGCCAACUUUGCGGUCCUGAUCCGGUUGUUACGCAUUGCAGACCGGCGCCAGCAUACAACUAGCGGGCAAUGUUGUUCUGCAGCAUGUUGGCUUCCUGAAUAAAGCAGAAUUUAUGAUAGGCUCGUGGUUGAUUAGAUUGAUGCAUUGCAAACUGGUUUUGGCUCGUAAACGGCUUGUUGAGUAUGGCCAUGGUUAGGAUUGGUAGCUCUGAAUUUGGUAGGCGGCAAAGUUGCAAGAUUUAGGAUUAUUUGUGUUAGCUUUUUGGAUUAACAGUGUACACAUUUUGAAUAGAAACUUCAGGUUUUUUUUGCCAAAACUUAUU